rnacentral:rRNA from 1 species
CUGGAACGCGCCCCAGGCGCACCCAGAAACCCUUUGUGAACUUAUACCUUACUGUUGCCUCGGCGCAUGCCGGCCCCCCUGGGGGCCCCUCUCCUGGAGGAGCAGGCACGCCGGCGGCCAACCCAACUCUUGUUUUUACACUGAAACUCUGAGAAUAAAACAUAAAUGAAUCAAAACUUUCAACAACGGAUCUCUUGGUUCUGGCAUCGAUGAAGAACGCAGCGAAAUGCGAUAAGUAAUGUGAAUUGCAGAAUUCAGUGAAUCAUCGAAUCUUUGAACGCACAUUGCGCCCUCUGGUAUUCCGGAGGGCAUGCCUGUUCGAGCGUCAUUUCAACCCUCAAGCCUGGCUUGGUGAUGGGGCACUGCCUGUAAAAGGGCAGGCCUUGAAAUUCAGUGGCGAGCUCGCCAGGACCCCGAGCGCAGUAGUUAAACCCUCGCUUUGGAAGGCCCUGGCGGUGCCCUGCCGUUAAACCCCCAACUUCUGAAAAU